AUUGAACGCUGGCGGCAUGCCUUACACAUGCAAGUCGAACGGCAGCACGGGUGCUUGCACCUGGUGGCGAGUGGCGAACGGGUGAGUAAUAUAUCGGAACGUACCUUAUUGUGGGGGAUAACGCAGCGAAAGCUGUGCUAAUACCGCAUAAUCCCUAAGGGGGAAAGCGGGGGACCGUAAGGCCUCGCGCAAUUAGAGCGGCCGAUACCUGAUUAGCUAGUUGGUGAGGUAAAGGCUCACCAAGGCAACGAUCAGUAGCUGGUCUGAGAGGACGAUCAGCCCCACUGGGACUGAGACACGGCCCAGACUCCUACGGGAGGCAGCAGCGGGGAAUUUUGGACAAUGGGGGCAACCCUGAUCCAGCAAUGCCGCGGGAGUGAAGAAGGCCUUCGGGUUGUAAAGCUCUUUUGUCAGGGAAGAAACAGCAGCUCUAACACAGUUUGCGAAUGACGGUACCUGAAGAAUAAGCACCGGCUAACUACGUGCCAGCCGCCGCCGUAA
rnacentral:rRNA from 1 species